rnacentral:rRNA from 1 species
UUUUAAUUUUUAAUUAUAUUAUUUAUUUAUAGAGAUUAUAAAAAAGGAUUAUAUUAUAAUGUAUUAUUUUAGAAAAAAAUUGGUUAUUUACUGUGAAGGAUGAUUGAAAAUUGUGAAAAAUUAAAAUUGAAAAAGUAUUUAUAAGUACCUUUUGCAUUAGGGUUUUUUAAAGAAAUUAAAAUAUUUUAAUUUCCCGAAGUUAAAAUGAUUUAUUAAAAUAUAGGUUUUCUGUAGAAAUAGAAAUUAUUAAUAUUUUGAUAGAAAUGAAAUUUUAUUCAUAUUUAAGGGUAUCUGGUUAUAAUAAUAAUGAUUAUAUAUCUAUCUAUUUUUUAUUUAUAUUUAAAUAGGUAAAUAGAAACGAUCUAUUGGGAUAAGCUUAUGGAUUUUCUUUUAAAUAUUUAAAAAAUUUAAUAAUAAGGUAUAAAAUUUUCUUAAUCUUUUAAUAAAGAAUUUUUUUUUGUAUAAUAUUAAUUUAUUUAAGGUUUAUUUGUGAUUUUAUUAAUUUUAAUAUAUUAAAAAAAUAAAAUAAUUAGUAAAAUUGAAUUUUGAAGGAGUUUUUUUAAGGUUUUUUAAAUGUAUUUUGCUAAAUUAAAUUAAAGGAAUUAGGCAAAAGAUUAGGGUUGACUGUUUAACAAAAACAUUUCAUUUUGAAUUAAUAAAAUGUAAAACCUGCUCAAUGAUUAAUUAAAUUGCUGUGGUAUUUUGACUAUACGAAGGUAUUGAAAUAAGGCUUUAAAUGAGUGCUAAGAGAAUGGUUUAACAAUUCUAAGCUUUCUUUAAUUAAUAAAUUGAAUUUAAUUUUUUUGUGAAGAAGCAAAAAUUUAAAUUAGGGACAAGAAGACCCUAUGAAUUUUGAAUUAGAUUUUAUGAUUUAAAUAGAGUUAUAUUGUUUAAAUUAAUUGGGGUGAUUAGAAAAGAAUAUAUAUCUUUUUUUAAGUAAUUAAUUUGUUCCGUUUUUAACGAUUUUAUGAUAAAAAUACUCUAGGGAUAACAGCGUAAUAAUUUUGGAUAGUUCAUAUAGAUAAAAUAGUUUGCGACCUCGAUGUUGGAUUAGGAUUCUUUUUUAAUGAAGAAAUUAAAGAUAAGAAGUUUGUUCAACUUUUAAAUUCCUACAUGAUCUGAGUUCAGACCGGCGUGAGCCAGGUUGGUUUCUAUCUUAAUUUUGAGUAUUUAUUUUUUUAGUACGAAAGGAAUAGAAAAUAUUAAUUAAAUUAAUAAUAAAAAUAUUAUUUUUAAACUAAUUUGGCAGAAAAUA